AAUCUUAUGUUAUAAUAUAAGACGAUUUCUGCCCAAUGAUUUAUUUUUAAUGGCCGCAGUACCCUGACUGUGCUAAGGUAGCAUAAUAAAUUGGCUUUUAAAUGAGGUCUAGAAUGAAUGGAUAUUUGAAGUAGUAGUUGUCUUUUUUUUGUUUAAUUGAAUUUAUUAAUUAGGUGAAAAGUCCUAUAUUUACAAAGAAAGACGAGAAGACCCUUAGAAUUUUAACYAUCUGGUGUUUUUGUUGGGGUGACAUAUUAACAUAAUAAACUUUUAUUUAUUAACUUGAUAGUAAUUCGAGAGAGAUAAAAUUACCUUAGGGAUAACAGCAUAAUUUUCUUUUAAGAUUAUGACCUCGAUGUUGGACUAGGAACCUAAUAAUUAGUAAUUAAAUUGGCAAGUUCUGUUCGAACUUUUUCUCCU
rnacentral:rRNA from 1 species